CAACCCUGGAGCUUUGCUGGGUGAGGCCAUCAUAUUUUCAUUAUCGCUUUGUUUGGUCCAGACAUUGUGAUGAGCAGAGAGGAGAUGGCAUGUACCCCGUGGAGCUGGGCUGAAUGGGAAAGAAAGAUGUUAAACCACAGCUAUGAGAACCAAGUAUGUACUGUCUCAGAAUCAACAGCAACAGUAAGUGACAGCAACAGCAAUGGUGGUGGCUCCCUUUCCCCAAGGCUCGCUGGGGCCACGUCAGUGACAGAGCUUUCCCUGGGCAUGGUCUCUGGAGCCUGCUGACAGCUCCGUGCCCUUGCAUGUUGUCACUGCCCCACUUCACGAUGACAAAGCUGGGCAUGGAAGAGCAGAGCUGCUGUGCCCCCACCACAGCCAGGCAGUGCCCGAACCACAACUGGAAUGUGCUUCCACAGUCCAGGCCCUUCUUGGUAAUAAAAAUCACCUUGAUUGUGCAAACCCCUAAGCAGCUGCCAGUUCAGUUCAGUGGUUUCAGUUGGCUCUGGAGUAGAGGUGGGGGCUGGGCGGAACCUGAACACUCCCAUUACCUUUUCCAGCUUCGCUCUCAGCCUUCUCUCCUCCAUCCUGGUCUUCAGCAUGUCCACAUCCUCCUUGGUGCCAUUGAGCACGAUGACAUCAUCCUCCUGAAAGGCAGCCCCACACUGGAGAGGGAAAACGAGAGGGCAGAUUCCAUUACCACUCAGUGAGGAGCCCACGCUUUGGUCCCCCACUCUCAGCCUUAAGCAGUGGGCCCCAGGCUCCAAAUCCUUGAGGAAUCGCCACACCGUCUUCUACAAUAGUUGAACUAAUUUAACAGAGAGCCAAGUCAUGAAUGAACUCCCAUUGAAAAUUGCUACAAAUAGAUUAAAAUACCUAGGAAAUCAACUAACAAGGGAUGUGAAGGACCUCUUCAAGGAAAACGGCAAACCACUGCUUAAGGCUCUGUUAUUUAAGAUAGUCUCUGCCCUGUGUGAGUUGGGUGGGGAAUUCUUAAAAAUAAAAAGUGGAGGAGCAGUGAGCUUACU